rnacentral:lncRNA from 1 species
ACUAAGUUAAAUUUUCUAUGAUGAUUUAUAAAUAUAUAAAUUUGUGAAAUAAUCUGCUUUUCUAUAUUUAAAAAUAUAUAUUUAGCCGUUAAAUUAUAAAAUAGAAAGUAUAUUUUCACACCUAUAUUCAAAUUAUAUUAUUACAUAUUAAUUCUAUCUCUUUCUUAUAUAUUGAAUUUUAUUUAUUACUAUAUUCAAAGGCAAAAUUAUCAUUUUGUUUAACUUUUAUCAAUUCAAUACCUUAUUUCCCUUUAAACAUCCAAACACUAUUAAAAGAUAUUCUCUAAGAACAAACAAACAGCAUCCAAAGGUAAUUUAAAACUUGUUCAAUAUUAUCCUAAAAUAUCUCAUGUUCUCAAGAACAAUAAAAAUUAUUGUAUAUUUAGUUUUUGAAUCAAAAAAUUAUUGUAUAUUUAGUUUUCGAAUCAAAAAAUUAU